rnacentral:lncRNA from 1 species
CGAGAAAUAAGAGAACUGUCAGGAGAAGGAAAAAAGAAGAAAGAGAAAGAGAAGAGAAAGCGAGAAUAAAAGAGAAAGAGAAAAGGGUUAUUUCCCAAAGUAAGGUCACCAGAGUCGUCUCUUGAGGCCAUCGGAGUAGCAUCUGGUCUCCUCUUCCUCUCGAUCAAAUAUGCCCAAGGAAAGUCUUUUAUCUUCUCAAUUCCGAUUUAACUCUCUUUUUUUCAUAUUUACAAAACAUGCCAUUGACGAACCCCCUUAAGCGCACCCACAAAAACAUGCCAUCAACGAACCUCCUUAAGGGCACCCCGACGAACCCCCAACAACAAGUGUUGGGACGCAGUUGGUGCCGCACCUCUUGCACAACACCGCCGCACCACGUGCGUAGUGCAACAGGGAGGUGGCGUACCCUUGCUUCCUAAGGUAGAACAUUCUAGAGGUUUA